UACGAAGGGGGCUAGCGUUGCUCGGAAUUACUGGGCGUAAAGGGCGCGUAGGCGGCGCUGUUAGUCAGGCGUGAAAGCCCUGGGCUCAACCUGGGGACUGCGCUUGAUACGGCAGUGCUAGAGGAUGGAAGAGGGUCGCGGAAUUCCCAGUGUAGAGGUGAAAUUCGUAGAUAUUGGGAAGAACACCGGUGGCGAAGGCGGCGACCUGGUCCAUUACUGACGCUGAGGCGCGACAGCGUGGGGAGCGAACAGG
rnacentral:rRNA from 1 species